rnacentral:rRNA from 1 species
CGGCGAGUGAAGCGGCAACAGCUCAAAUUUGAAAUCUGGCCCUCGUGGUCCGAGUUGUAAUUUGUAGAGGAUGCUUUUGGUGAGGUGCCUUCCGAGUUCCCUGGAACGGGACGCCAUAGAGGGUGAGAGCCCCGUCUGGUUGGACACCGAGCCUCUGUAAAGCUCCUUCGACGAGUCGAGUAGUUUGGGAAUGCUGCUCUAAAUGGGAGGUAUAUGUCUUCUAAAGCUAAAUACCGGCCAGAGACCGAUAGCGCACAAGUAGAGUGAUCGAAAGAUGAAAAGCACUUUGAAAAGAGGGUUAAAUAGUACGUGAAAUUGUUGAAAGGGAAGCGCUUGUGACCAGACUUGAGCCCGGUUAAUCAUCCAGCCUUCUGGCUGGUGCACUUGGCCGGCUCAGGCCAGCAUCAGUUCGGCGCGGGGGAUAAAGGCUUCGGGAAUGUGGCUCCUCCGGGAGUGUUAUAGCCCGUUGUGUAAUACCCUGUACUGGACUGAGGUUCGCGCAUCUGCAAGGAUGCUGGCGUAAUGGUCAUCAGCGACCCGUCUUGAAACACGGACCAAGGAGUCGUCUUCGUAUGCGAGUGUUCGGGUGUCAAACCCCUACGCGUAAUGAAAGUGAACGCAGGUGAGAGCUUCGGCGCAUCAUCGACCGAUCCUGAUGUUCUCGGAUGGAUUUGAGUAAGAGCAUACGGGGCCGGACCCGAAAGAAGGUGAACUAUGCCUGUAUAGGGUGAAGCCAGAGGAAACUCUGGUGGAGGCUCGCAGCGGUUCUGACGUGCAAAUCGAUCGUCAAAUAU